AUCGAAUCAUGUUUUUUCAAGUUUUUUUCCCGCUAGUUGGUGCUAUCGGCGUCCUGAUUUUCCCUGGCGGAUGGUAGAAACAGGUAAAUACUGCUUCUCUUUUUUGCAUCCAAGCAUGUCGUGUUUAUUUAAAAAAAAGUUUCCUCCGUUUUUAGCGUUGCAGAUAUGACAGGCAAAAUCAGCCAGUACUUUAAAAAGCGACUUCGCAAGGAGGAAAGUCAAGAGUCCAGGUGAAACACAGCAGAGAAAAAACGUAAUAGGCAGUUAAAAUGCUAUAAUUCAUGUUGGUGACAACGUGGAAAUUUGUGUCAGGUCUGAAAGUACUUCACAAGGGACUGGUGAUCGCGAGGGUCAGAAUGCAGGACAGGACGAGUCGGCGAGGCGAGGGUAAUUAAUUAAUUAGUUUCCAAUUAGGAGCAUAACAACGCAAAGCCGACGUGUACGUGGUUUUUAUUCCUCUUUCCAGAUCUUCUCAAAAACACAGAGCCAGUGGCUUUGACAAGCAAUGGCUCAAUCAAUUUACCUGGCUCAGGCAUACUGAGGAAGGCAUGCACUGCGAUUUAUGCCAAAAGCACUGUGCCCCAACGCAGCAGGCAAUUGCUGCCUCCUUAGUGAGACAGCCAUCAACCAACUACAGGCUGGACACAUUAAAAAGACAUGAGGUGAUAGCCGUUCACAAAGCAGCAGAAGAGAAGGAGAAGUAUAUUAAAGAUGGUAGUACCUAAAAAAACUCAACUAAUAAAGUUACAAAAACUAAAAUAACAUAGUUUAGACAGUUUAAGAAAUAAUUGGUUGUCGUUUUUUUAGGGAGGACACUCCAGCGUAUACAUAUAGAUAAUAUAUGAUUGAAAACACUAUCACUCUUCAUGUCUGUAUCAGAAUAAAUACAAAAAUACUUAAUGCAUGAUGAAUUGUUUUGUUUAAGGUGAAGACACCUCUGCGGAACAGACUGAAGGAGAGGCACUUGGAUGUCUGUUGUAAGGUGGCCGUUGAUGGACCAGACCAGGAGGCCUUGGACUACAAGGAGUGCAUGAGGAGGUUCUACAGAAUGAAAAAGAGGAGGCUGAAAUGUUCUGUCUGGUUGCGAGAUGUGUGGAUGAAGUGUACUUUCAAUUUAAAGUUGCCAGCUGAUUUGUGUAUGUAUAUAGUUUUAAUAAAUGAAUGCUUUAACAUGAUAAUGGUCACACUCUUUUUUGAACUCUUAACUUAAAGUAUGUUGCCUGUAAAAGAAAGUGAGUCGGUUGAAUUUACAAAUACAUGCACGUCAUGGCGCAUGGUCAGGAUGGUGCCACCUCUGCCUCAAUUUGAGCCAGGAAAAACCCUGCAUGUGUUUGUUCAUUCAUGCAGCUUUUUGAUGUUCUUUACAGCUUAGUGUGUGUUUGGUUUUAAGACUUGUCCUCUACUGCUCUAAAGAGAACGUUCCCCUCUGAGUAUCAAUAAAACAGGCCAGUUAAACGUCAAUAAGACAAAUCAUUGUUUGAGAAGUCCCAUCGAGUGGAACCUCAUUUUGUCAGUGGAAUCGAUUCAUGUUUUACUUUCCCUUUUUUUCGAGAGAGCGCACAGGACAUCAGUGCAGCGAGCUUUAACUUCUACAAACGGAGACUUUUAGUUCGCUGUCGAGCUCGUUGUUUCUGUAGUUAGACGGAGCGACACUUCCAUCACCGACUGCAGCUAAGACAGCCACACUAAUGACAACAACAGUUCAGUGUGAUCUGCAAUUUAGAGCAGAGCGGCGUUUGAUUACUAGAGUCGGAGAAGAGGCUGGAACACAAAUCACAAUCUUCUGUUUGAAUCAUGUUUGAUUUGUUCAUGUUUGUCUUUAUUUAAUGUAGCGUCACGCCCAACUUUAGCAUCCAUUUACAUGAGUCUCAUGUCUGAUCCUGAAGAAGCCCUGACAUGGAUUUUAAUUAUAUCUCCUAAACACACGGAGGGUUUUAGUCGGCUUUAGUGCUACAGAGAGAAAACACUCAGUGCAUAGACCCGUAGGCUUCACUAAAGCUUGUCAGCAUUUCUAAGAAACACAUGAUUUAAUCAAUAAAUAUUUGAAUAUUAUAGGGCCGUUAAGUCCUGGUCAACUGCUCAAUUUAAUGGUCAAUACCUGCUGAGCCGACUCGAUUUUUUUCCGCAUCCCGGGGAAGACUUUUCCUGGGGAAAGUCCCGCCUCCUUCGCCUCUGAUUGGCUAGAAAAGCUGGAGACGUCAUCACACGCUCAAGCCAAACGGUCAGCACUUCUAGCCAAUCAGAGGCGAUAAAAUAAGCACAUGAAACUAUGGUAACAACCGUUAGCUUACGUUAGCACAGAUGAAAGUUAAAACAAAGACGUUUAGCAAACUGUUAAUGUACACAAAACAUCGUCAUAUAGGAAAUCCGACGCUGUGACUCUCCACUCGCCGACACGUAAACAAUCAGCCGGUCGGCCAUUUUGGAUCCAAAAAAAUAAAUGCCGCAAUACCGCAGGACGAGAAAACAUUGCAGAUGUGAACGCUUGUAUAGACAGGAUACGGGUUCGAAAGAAAAUAUUGACGUCUGAAAUAAUCGCACAAAAAAACAGUCCUGGUUUGUAACGACCUUUACACUUAAAUUUGAAAAAAACAAACGAUUUUUGAACAAAAAAAUUGAUUUAAAAAUUGUAAAACAAAAAUUGCAAUACUUAUGUGAAUGGAUUUUUUCUCCCACCCCUAGUAGUUAUCGUCCAUUUAUCGUUAUCGAGGUUAACUGCUCAAUAUAUCAUGAUAUCGAUUUGAGGCCAUAUCGCCCAGCCCUACAAUAGACUCCACAUAACUGUGCUGUAAGUUGUUUUGUAUUGGUCAUCAAUACAAUUACAAAGUUGACACAAAAGAAUAGAAACGACUUUAAGCGUUUAAAUUUCAGUGAACUCGGUGAUAUAGUAUCACAGCGUUUAGUAAGGUCUUAUCUUCAGGAGAGUCUGGGCUCCUCUGCAAACAAACACGCGACACAAACAUGUGGAACCUGACCCACUGAUAAAGCGGGGGGCUCUUUCCACUCGGUUAUUAUCAACAACAUGCCUCACUACCUUAUUUUUCAUCCUCUCUGUUGAUUUAUUUAUGUCCUGCAGCAGUUACGGCCCUUUGACCGUGUCUAUACCACCUACCUCUAAGUGGUUCAGAUAACACCGUACAGAUGGAUAAAUGGUUUUCCAGAUAAAAUAUACCAACACGAUAAAACACUUCACCUUGAAUUUCAUACUCUAGUGUUAGCCGCAACAGUUUAUGGGACACAGGUCACUUUUUAGAAAGGCGAGAAGGUUUUAAAGGUGCAUCUUUAAAACAAAAUGCAACAGUUAAUUGCUGCUGCAUCCAAAUAUGUGUGGGAUAAACUCUCAUAUACGCGUUUUUAAAGCUGAGCGUCUCAUGACUGAAAGAAAAUGUUGAUAAAAACUCUGCUACUGUAAAAGACGAUCCUCUUAAAAGUCUACCUGCUACCUACAGCACAUAAAACUUUAUACAGUUACUUUACCACCUGGUGCCCUCUGUUAAUGAAGCGUUAUUGUGUGUAUCCUUUAUUGGGAAUAUGCUGUUUUUAAGCGUAUUGAAUAGUUUGUACGUUUACACACCUGAGUCAAAGAUACAAUCCAGCCUUUUAACUCAAACUAUCUUUAUCUUUUUGAACGCACAAACGUGGCGUUUAGGGAUAAAAAAAAGACCUUGAUCGGUUUCUAUAUGGACAUAAAUCACUUCAGACAGAUGAAAAGAUAUCAUUGUGGCGAGGGCAUCAAAAGAAAAAUAAAAUUUGCGGCCUGUUUUUGUUGUAACUGCGCGCAGGCGUUGAUAGAAAUAAUUACUCCAGCAGCUUUAAAGCCUUCAUCUCCUGCUGAAAAGCAACGUGAAGCCAAAGAGAAUUAAAAACACCUCAAACCUCAUCAUUAAUUCAAUCUGUUUACAUAUUGUAUUGGGCAGAUCUGUCAUUACGUCCUUUUUUCCAUACAGGAUAAAAAGCCGCGUCUCUUUCUUAGCCAGCGUUUGUCUACAUUCGGCUGUUUAGCGGCUGAAACGCCGUCUGUUUGUCAUUGGUUCGGUUUUAAUUGAGUGGUUUUUAUUUUUAGAUUCCACAACAAUCAGGCAGACACACUUUGAUCUCUGCCUGAAUGUGAAUCUUCAUGCCAGAAGUGGGUCAUGUAAACACUCAGCUUUGUUAUUUUAAUGAAGCUGUAGACUGAGUGGACGGAUUUGUGAUUGACUCUGCUGGACAUCGUUUGGGAAAAAAAAUUAUUCAUGGAAACAAACAAGAGCAAACUGAGCCGCCCUCACCAGAGCUGCUCUCCACUCUCCACUUAGAUGACACUAGAGGGCAGAAAGCUGUGGAGACUUGGCCUGCUGACCCGUAAAUAUUGAAAAUUGCUCUGCUGGAUGUAGUUUUUGCUUUAUGGAGCUCUGCCAAACUGUCAUGAAUAAUGAACAACACAACCAGAGAGCACGCAACGUCUCUAUAAGCUAAAACGUGAUGCUUCAGCUGGAGGUGCCAGCAUCAGAAUAAAACAAAGACUCUUUGUUUACUAGAGAGGAAACAGUCUUUUGUUAUCAGCUUCAUUAGUCCAUACGCUGCACUUCUGUCUGAUUUUCCUCACUGCUGCAGUUGUUCAAAAGUAUUCAUCAUUUAUGUACCGAUUAAAGAGGCUUUUUUAGAUCGUUAAAUAUUUAUAUUAGUGUUAUUGUGUUUAUUUUUAUUGCUAUUACUAUCAGGGUCAGCAGUGAAAAACAUUUCCUAACCUCAUAGUUUCAGUCGUUUGUUCAUCGUUUGUUAUAAAAACACAGAGAGUCAAUCUGAACGUCAAAACGACCAGCUCUGAACCAUCACUGACACUUCCGUCAAAAGACUUCAGAUUUGUCUUGGACCUGCUCCAUAAAUACCAAAGACAAGACCGCUGCUGUGGACAGAAAGCUCCAGGACUAAAUCAGACUUGCCUUGGAGACACUGUAGACUAGAUCUGGACUGGAUCCAAAACUUAAGAUCUGCCUUUGGAUGAAAAGAUAAACUCUUAGAGAACCAAAAUACUUGAGUCCAUACUUGAACCUGCUGUCUAAAACCUUGGGGACCUUUAGAAAUGCCCCCUAAGAAAUGGAGGUUUGAAUCCAACUGUAUCAAAAUGACUCAAGACUUGAGUCAUUUUGAGCCAAAGCAUCACAGACAAACACUCUCGUCUCCCGGUCCAAGAAGCGGAGAACUGAACUGAAUCCUGAACUGUUAAGCUGUGUAUCAGUUCAGGAGGUCGGAGUCGCAGGCUCCUCCCACCAAGCGUUGAAUGACUCAGACACAAAGAGUGUAUAACUGUCUCCACAAAUCAAGCACAAGUACAAUCAUAUGUGCGAAGAAAUAACAUGUUAAGUAAAUGCAAAGACACGAUGAGACGUUCCUACUACUCUGUCGGUGCGAAUGACGUGAAUUGGGCGGGAGCUGAAAGUGUCUCAACCUGAGCGGAUAUUCGCGUCGGGAUAACCAAUCAGCACGAAGGGUGACGUAUGAAAACAGACAGUUGUUCACUGGUAUCUAAAAUGGAGGACAAACUGAUCGUGACUCUGAAUUAUAUGAUAACUUUUCUUUCAAUUACCGAAACCAGAAUAAAAAGGAGCUCGUCUGGAGGAAAGUGAGUGAGGAGGUUGGAUUAAAUCAGUAAAUUGUAAAAAACCUUUGUCUACCUUUGGAUACAAUCGUACUGACUCCACCCAUGGGUUCCUGAAGAGGUGCUAUAAAGCUUAUUGAUGGUGGUCACCAUUGGAAAUAUUAGUUGUAUUCCUAAAUGUACAUUAGUCUUGUGUGGGAAUUGAGUUUAAAAAUGUACUAAAACAGCAGAGGUGAUUCUUCAUCAUAACUUCAUUUUUGCAGACUGCACAUAUAUCUCUAAACUUCUGUCUGUGGGAGUCGUUCUGACUUCUGUUAGGGAAGUAAUAUCAAUACCCAAACUAUUUUUGCUGUAUUAGUCAAACUAAAAUAUUGCAUACAUCGUCCUUCAACUUCUCUUCCACUCAUGUAUACUGCUUUCUCAUUUUCAGCAUUUUCUAUCUGACCUUGAGGAUGAAAAAUGGGGUUGAUAUUUAUAUGCAGAUACAAACAGCAAGUCAGGGGGAUUCAAAGUUAGUUUCUUAAGCGUUCACCAAACUGAGUAGUAUUUUUUAUCUCUGUAUAUCGUCUUAUAAAAACACUGAAAUAGUCUAUAAAGUCACAGCUAUUAUGAGGUUUUAUUCAGGAGUUGUUUUUUAGGACUGUCACUGACAAUACUGACAGUUUUCCAAACUCAUUGGGUGAUAACUGAUCCCUCUGUGUACAGCCUGUCCUGGUUACCUGUAAUUAGAGUUUGGCUGCAAAGAUCCAACAGCGAUCAUCUGCCAUUCUCACCAUUUUGGUCCAAAGGAAACUUCACUAGCAGCCUUAUUCAUUUGACAAAGACUUCCUAACAGAUUGUACUCCACAAACAACAAAUGGUAAAACCAGAUUCCACUAAGCUGAGUAAAGUCAAACCUAACUGUGACGGUGUAGACAUAAGCAGAACAGCCAUUAGUACAAACAUAAAACAAAACCAAGGUCCUAAAAACCGACACGUGACGCAGGAUUUGUGAGGGGAGAAGUACCUCAUUAUGUGAUUCCUGAAGCUGCAUCCAGGAUGUUGUGCUGAUUGAAAGGAGCCGUUCUCAUUAUCCUCGCGCUGGAAGAGAGAAAACAAAAGUCGUUUUUCAGUAAUGACUGCAGGAGGAGAUCCACGACAAGAUUACACACGCUGCCGUUCAGUCCUUUUGUGUCGCUUCGAUCACAAGUUUUCCUCUCCUGACAACUUUAUAAUCAGUGACUAAUGAAGAAGGGUUAUAGACAUUAUAGACGUCAGAGUCAUUGUUUUAACACCCCCUCUUUGUUUUUGUUGUGUACCUGCUCAGGCUGCAUACAGGAGCAUCCAACUGGAAUAGAGUACAGACUGUAAAAAAUGAUGAAUGAUGUGACAGCUCCAAGAAGAGUCAAGACUAAACAUCUGGAGGAGCUCAGCCUGUCUGUCUUCAUUACAGGUCAUUAAGCCCACCUCCUCCAUGUUAACAGAUGGGGCUUGAGUGAAACUUUCAAAUCAAAAAGGAUUAAAAUAAGUUUUGGCAGACAUUACAGCUACUUUUUAUUUUGGUUUUUGCUAUGCAAGUCUUCAUUUCUCUGAAAAGUUUUCUUUCACCUGUUACUCUAAACCAGACCUGGGCAUUUUACAGCCCAGGGGCCACAUCCGACCCUUCGUGAGGUCCGUCAAUCAAAUCAUCAACAUGCUAUAAAAGUGUGUCGCUUUAUUUUGAAAACCUAGCCGUUGUUUUAUUUCCGUUCUGAUGCCUGUAUGUACAUCCUAGAUCUGCAUUUGUGAACAGAGACAAGUUUAAACAUCGGCAAAAUAUUUGUAGACGCCUUAGAGUUGCCAAGUCUGCUUAUUUUGAAAGACUUUAAGCUUGUUUCUCUCAGAAGUUAUCUUUGGUUCGGCCCUUCAACACAGUUCAGGUUUCUCAUGUGGUCUCAUGUAAAAAUUAAUUGCCCACCCCUGCUCUAAACAAACUGCAUUCAAUUCUAACAUUGAUAUUUGUAUUAUCUUCAAUGUAGACACCUAUUAAUGAGAAUGAGCGUGAUCUAGCUCUGCUCCCUUUCUUUGCCGUCUCUAAGUCACCACGAAAUUCACCUCACAAACAGUGCCGGUAAGAAUUGGCGGACGGCAAAAAUCGCCACAGUUCCAGACCAGAGCCGUUGCGGAUGCGGUGGAAAUUUGAGUUUGGCACACAUCCCAUUAUGAAGGUUAUAACCCACCAUAACCCUGAACAUUAUGCACUACGAACUGCUUGAUACACCUGUCACCUGGGAAAAAAUAGUAAAAAUUAAUUGUAUAGUCCACAAAAGAUAAAACAUAAUCUUAAAAAGUUCAUUCAAAGAUUAGAUGAACUGUUGAAUAAAUCUAAAUAAAGAUUAAGUGAUCCUACUGUAGGCAUUUUAAAGAUAUAACUGUAGUAAAGUGGCUGUCUCUGACAUUUUUCCUCCUGUUGAAUAAAACCUCCACCAGGCUGACUCAAACACGAACAUUUUCUCAUCUGUGCAGUAUUCAGUCUCCACUUCACCACAGAGGUAUUUGUCUUUUUACUGUGAGAGGAAACUAGAGAGCCUGAAGGAGGCUGCAGAAACAAGGUGAAAAAUACACUACAAUCUAACAGACAGGACCAAGGUUAUGAUUCACAGCUGAAGAAGGAGGCUGUUCAUGAGAUAAAAAGGCUACCUGAGGAGAGUUUAAGUAGGAUCACCCUCUCCUGAGUGUCUGACUAAAGCAAAGACUGAAAAAUCUCUUUUAGAAACCACUCAAAUGUUGGUUUGUACUGAAGCUGCUGCUAUCAUUCUCACUAUUUUUCACUCAGCUGUUGGAUUUUUUCACCUAUUAAAGCGCCCGGGGACAUUAACUGAAAUAUUCACCUGGGAUAUCAAAAUUCAAUGAGUCAUCAUGAAUCAGGGAAACUCAGAGUAAAAAUGUGCAUCCACAAAUGUUAGUAGACCUUGUUCGAAAACAGAUUAUUCUCAAGUAAAAACUGUUUCUCAAGACUGCGUGGGCAUGACGGCGAAUGUUCUGACUGACAUCCUGUGCGCUCUAGUCGUCUGACUCCAAAGCAGAAGACAAAGAAACUCCAGCUUUAAAAAAACUAGUUUUUCCAACACCCCUGAAUGGUUCAUAACAAAAUACAUCAAACACAUUAAUUUAGGGUUAGACACCCCCUCCAGAGAUGAAUGUUGCCGACCGCUUGCUUCUCUAGUUAUACCAACUUUAGUAACGACCGCAGGAUAGAAAUACACAGCGGUCUGAGGAGCCAUAAACAAACCUCAACCAAAACGCCACUCUAUAGCCACAAAUAAUGCUCAGAACAGAACAAAGAGACUUAACACAACUCACCUGCUCUCUUCCAGCAGCUGCUUGUUUGUAGAGAGACCUCAGGCCAGUCCACUACGGACUACAGCGGGGUGCCGCAGCUCAAGGAAGAACAUUUAUGAUCAUUUCUUUAUCAUUUCCUUGAAGUAAUAAUCACCAUAUUAAUUAUUUUGCACUGCAUUGAUUGUAUUUCCAUGACGAAAUGAUCAUAAAUGUUCUUCCUUGAGCUGCGUCACCCCUCUGUAGUCUGUAAUGGACUGGCCUGAGGUCUCCCAGUACUAUGGCUGGGACCCUAUAUGUCCUGUUGAUGAAGUUAGGUGCUGUUCUGAGCAUUAUUCGUGGCUACAGAGUGGCGUUUUGGUUGAGCGCAUGGCUCUCUGUAUUGCUAUCCUUGCGGUCGUUACUAAAGUUGGUAUAACUAGAGAAGCAAGCGGUCGGCAACAUUCAUCUCUGGAGGGGGUGUCUAACCCUAAAUUAAUGUGUUUGGCCCUAAAUUAAUUUUACGCUGGAAUAUUGCUUUAAUAGCCUCUGUGUGUAUAUACGACCAUAAAAGUUAGAAAGGCUUUUCUUUAAAAAGUACAAAAAUGUUCACCACUGUAUCAACCCCACAGAUAUUAAAAACAGUAAAUCACAUCUGGAGAUACUGAAACUCAGAUUUUUACACCUUAUGUAAAUUCAUCCAACUCCAUUUUGAACACAAUUUCAUUUUUAUUGAGCCUUUGAUCAAAAAAUAAACCAACAGUUAAAACAAAAGCAAAUUAUCAUUGAGGUUUUGAUAUUAUACUAAUAAACACUGACAGUUACUUUUAAGUUCAAUUACAAAGUACCUGUAAAGAGUCAAAUUUAAGCUCCUUUUAUUAUGUUUAGAACAGAAAUAAAAUCAUGACUCUAACAACCAUUAAAUAAACAACAACUUUGAAUAUUAAGCAGAGAAACUGGAUAUUAACUACUUAAGCUAGCUGCUAGCUGUUAGCCGUUAGCCUAACAUGCUACACUAGAGGACUGAUUUACCGUUGGCGUUUCCGUCGACCGUGCUCUUCUUCCGGCUCCGUUAAAAAUGACGCAGAAAAAAUGACGAAAUAUUAUCCAAGGAUGAGUUGUCAACAUUUGGCGCUAUUUUCCUUUCUCUGUCUGUCGUUGUCACUAAAACUGCGCCACCAUCCCGCUCUCGUUUUCUCUCGUUUCAGACGAACUUUCCACCUCACGGACCUGUGCGGUUAGCGACAUUUCAUUUUCGUAGGAUGGCAGGGGAAGGUCCCGCCUCCUUCGCUUCUGAUUGGCUAGAAAAGCUGGAAAUGUCGUCACGCGUUCAAGCCGAGCGCGGGCUGGCGGCCAUUUUGCUGUAGGACGAUCGCCCGCUCAACAUUCCAGUCUACGGUGCAGGUAACAUUUAAAUAACCAUAGAUUGAUUAAUUUUAAACCGAUUUUCAAACGGUUUGGUUUGUAACAAACCUCAGAGUUUUAGUUAUGUUCCUGCACACUCUAGAAUAACUUUAACCAUGGAUUUUCAUAAAUAAACAUUAAGCAGAUAGGUAGAGCAAUAGCUAUAGGCCUACACACACAAGGCAGUUAUAUUAAAUCAUUUAUAUAUAAAAGAUUUAAUCAUUCCAUGUAUGUUAUAUUAGCAACUAUCAUCCUAAAUAAAGAAAUAAUAAAAAAGUUUAAUUUUCAGCUAUUUUGCAGUAGAGAACAUUGGGCAAUGUUCACACCACAGCUAUUUUACCUUCAAACAUUAGUUAUGGUAUCAAGCCAAAAAUGAAGAUCUUGCAGUGCCUGUUUGUACCCAUCAAUCCAAAUCUUAAAAUUAUGACAAAUACAUCUAAAUUUAUAUCUUUGUAUUAAUUUAUAUGCACAUAAAAUAGGCUGGCAGCGUUAGACUACAAAAACAAGGGGCCUAACAUUAUUCUGUCAAUAGAAUUAUCAUGAGAAAUUCUCAGUAGUACUUUAUUCAUUUAUUUAUCUGUUGUGCAGAAAUCUUUUUUAAUUGCCUACAUAGCUGUAAUAAUUCAAAAGUAUAAUGCUGUGGAGGAGAGACUGAAAGUGUCAAAAGGAAAAAAAUCAUUUAAAUAACCUUGAUUUGUAAGAAGAGUUUUUGAAUUUAUACACAAAAAUGACUCUUUAGUGUUAGGUACUUGAUUCCUCUUUAAAAAAAUCAAAAAGUAAUGAUAUUGAUAAUUAUCCUUGAAGCUGUAAAUUAUCUUUCCCUUUGAACAGAGGAGGGUCACAUGUGCAGGGUUUUUCCUGCGUUCAAAAUUGCGUGGCGGCCGCCUCCACCUAAUUUUGUGCCGCCCCCAGCCAGAGCGAUUGAUUUCGCUCAACACAGCGUAAAGCUCCAGCUGUGUUGAUUGAGCGUAUGAUGUCCCUCUGCAGCAGCAACGUAUUUUAACUGCAGUUGCAGCGUUGCACCACUAUAGAGGCGCUAUAUCAACAGCAGUGCAUCGGAAAGACCUGAAGCAUCUACCGAAGAAGAAACGGAUCGAAUCAUGUUUUUUUUCCCGCUAGUUGGUGCUAUCGGCGUCCUGAUUUUCCCUGGCGGCUGGACACAAACAGGUAAAUACUGCUUGUCUUUUUUGCAUCCGAGCAUGACGUGUUUAUUUAAAAAAAAAGUUUACUCCGUUUUUAGCGUUGCAGUUAUGACGGGCAAAAUCAGCCAGUACUUUAAAAAGCGACCUCGCGAGGAGGAAAGUCAAGAGUCCAGGUGAAACACAGCAGAGAAAAAAAAGGAACAGGCAGUUAAAAUGCUAUAAUUCAUGGUGGUGACAAUGUGGAAAUUUGUGUCAGGUCUGAAAGUACUUCACAAGGGACUGGUGAUCGCGAGGGUCAGAAUGCAGGACAGGACGAGUCGGCGAGGCGAGGGUAAUUAAUUAAUUAGUUUCCAAUUAGGAGCAUAACAACGCAAAACCAACGUGUACGUGGUUUUUAUUCCUCUUUCCAGAUCUUCUCAAAAACACAGAGCCAGUGGCUUUGACAAGCAGUGGCUCAAUCAAUUUACCUGGCUCAGGCAUACUGAGGAAUGCAUGCACUGCUAUUGAUGCCAAAAGCACUGUGCCCCAACACAGCAGGCAAUUGCUGCCUCCUUAGUGAGACAGCCAUCAACCAACUACAGGCUGGACACAUUAAAAAGACAUGAGGUGAUAGCCGUUCACAAAGCAGCAGAAGAGAAGGAGAAGUAUAUUAAAGAUGGUAGUACCUAAAAACACUCAACUAAUAAAGUUACAAAAACUAAAAUAACAUAGUUUAGAUAGUUUAAGAAAUAAUUGGUUGUCAUUUUUUUUUUAGGGAGGACACUGCAACGUAUACAUAUAUAUAAUAUAUGAUUGAAAACACUAUCACUCUUCAUGUCUGUAUCAGAAUAAAAACAAAAAAUACUUCAUGCAUGAUGAAUUGUUUUGUUUAAGGUGAAGACACCUCUGCGGAACAGACUGAAGGAGAGGCACUUGGAUGUCUGUUGUAAGGUGGCCGUUGAUGGACCAGACCAGGAGGCCUUGGACUACAAGGAGUGCAUGAGGAGGUUCUACAGAAUGAAAAAGAGGAGGCUGAAAUGUUCUGUCUGGUUGUGAGAUGUGUGGAUGAAGUGUACUUUCAAUUUAAAGUUGCCAGCUGAUUUGUGUAUGUAUAUAGUUUUAAUAAAUGAAUGCUUUAGCAUGAUAAUGGUCACACUCUUUUUUGAACUCUUAACUUAAAGUAUGUUGCCUGUAAAAGAAAGUGAGUCAGUUGAAUUUACAAAUACAUGCACGUCAUGGCGCAUGGUCAGGAUGGUGCCACCUCUGCCUCAAUUUGAGCCAGGAAAAACCCUGAUGUGGAUCACUGAU
rnacentral:lncRNA from 1 species